CGGCCUGAGGUCGGACGAGGCUACCCGCUGAAUUUAAGCAUAUUACUAAGCGGAGGAAAAGAAACUAACGAGGAUUCCCUCAGUAACGGCGAGUGAAGCGGGACGAGCCCAGCGCCGAAUCCGGCCGCUUAUGGAGCGGACGGAAUUGUGGCGUAUGGAAUUCGCUUCGAGCGCGGACCGGCUGCCCACGUCCUUCUGAUCGAGGCUUCAUCCCAUAGCGGGUGGUCAGGCCCUUGGCGGCGGCUCCCCCGGGCUCUCGGUGUCUUCCC
rnacentral:ncRNA from 1 species